rnacentral:rRNA from 1 species
CCAAUAGCGUAUAUUAAAGUUGUUGCAGUUAAAAAGCUCGUAGUUGAAUUUCGGGAUCAGUAGGUUGGUCGUGCCGCUGGUAUGUACUGGCCUUACUGGUUCCUCCUUCUUGUAGAACCGUAAUGCCAUUAAGUUGGUGUUGCGGGGAAACAGGACUGUUACUUUGAAAAAAUUAGAGUGUUUAAAGCAGGCUAACGCUUGAAUACAUUAGCAUGGAAUAAUGAAAUAGGACGAACGAUCCUAUUUUGUUGGUUUCUAGGAUUGACGUAAUGAUUAAUAGGGAUAGUUGGGGGCAUUAGUAUUCAAUUGUCAGAGGUGAAAUUCUUGGAUUUAUUGAAGACUGACUACUGCGAAAGCAUUUGCCAAGGAUGUUUUCAUUAAUCAAGAACGAAAGUUAGGGGAUCGAAGACGAUCAGAUACCGUCGUAGUCUUAACCAUAAACUAUGCCGACUAGGGAUCGGAUGAUGUUAAUUUUUUAAUGACUCAUUCGGCGCCUUACG